AGAGUUUGAUCAUGGCUCAGGAUGAACGCUAGCUACAGGCUUAACACAUGCAAGUCGAGGGGCAGCAUGUUGGUUGCUUGCAACCAAUGAUGGCGACCGGCGCACGGGUGAGUAACGCGUAUCCAACCUACCCUUGUCCAUCGGAUAACCCGUCGAAAGGCGGCCUAACACGAUAUGCGGUUCUCAGCAGGCAUCUAACGAGAACGAAAUGUGAAGGAGAAGGAUGGGGAUGCGUCUGAUUAGCUUGUGGCGGGGUAACGCCACAAGGCGACGAUCAGUAGGGUUCUGAGAGGAGGUCCCCANAUUGGAACUGAGACACGGUCCAAACUCCUACGGGAGGCA
rnacentral:rRNA from 1 species